CCAUCUAUCAAGCUGCCCUCCUGCACAAGAAGAAUAUCCUAAAAUAACAUGACUGGGAUCUCUACGGAAAGGACUCUAGAGAUAGUGCCCAGAGGAGGCAUAGCUCAAGCCCACCUCCUCCAGGAUGCCCUCCUGGCACAGGCCAUCUCAGCCUUUCUGAAGCACCCACACGUUUGACCUUGACCUCCACCCCAGCCUUUUUCCUAUCUGCCUGAGACAAGUGAGUGUGUCUCAAUGGGCUGUCUAGGCAAGAGGACCUUAAGGUAAGGCUCAUGGAGGAGGUGAUAUUGGAUAUUUGGGCCUUGAAACUUGGAAGAAAAGAAGAACACACCUCAGGAAGGGAGAACAGCAUGGUCAAGGGCUCAGAGUUAUGGCAGGGCGUGCAUAUCCCAUGAAUGUUGCAUGUUUGGUGCGAAUGGAGGCCACCUCCUUGGAGCUCCCUGAAAACUCCUCUCCUGGAUGAGGCCACGAGAGGGACACCAGCUGGGCCAAGGGCACCCUGAGAUAUUGUGGGCAGAUGGGAGUUCCCCCCACCGAACUCCUUUGAAACGACUGACGCUGGAAGUCUGAACAAAGGCACCAGGCUUUAGAUUGCAUGGCACUGAUGCACAGGAGCGCUGCCGUGCAACGCUGCUGGGUUUGGGUCACAGCCUCACAGCGACGGGCUCGCCCUGCCCUCCCUGGACCCCUGGACAUUUCCAGCGCUGACAGCACUGUCUCCAGAGGUGCUGACCCAGGGCUUGGAGCCCUCAAAGCCCUGAGUGUCCCCUGUGCCGUAGCCCUCGUCAAGCUCCGUCACCCCAGGGCCCCUGUGCAAGUUCUUUUUUAGAACUCAAACAGCCUUGGGAGAGGUAACCUAUUAAGUGGCUGAGAAACAUUAAAAGCUGUUCAACUGCAUAACCCAGGACCUGAGUUGAAGUCUUCUUAGCUCAGCCAUUUCCUGGCUCUGUGACCUUGAGGCAGCAUUUAAUUCCAUGGAGUCCGCUUCCACUGGAGAAAAAUGGGAAUAUUGAAAGAACCCUGUGAGAGAGACUGGACUGGCAAGAAUUUGAGAUCAAAGAUAGAACAACACUUUGAAAACCACAUACCAUCGUACACCUGCAGAAGAAUAUUGUUUUCCUUGUUGUCCAAACAACUCGUGCAUUUCCAGGACCACUUUCAUGACAGGAGGGCAGAAGAAACCAUGGGGAGCAGGGGUGAUGAGACCUGGAGCAGGGACAUGGACCCACCAAGGGAAGGAAGGAGCUGGGGCUGAGGCUUCUGCCAUCUCUGUGAAUAUCAGCAAUUACUUCUCAGUUACUUCCCAGCUGGAAAGCAUCUCAUGGAGAUGGGGCUCUGGAAGCUAGAAGAAGCCAUAAGGAUGAUUUUUUUUCUUUUUUGUCUGAGGAAGAUUGGCCCUGAACUAACAUCUGUUGCCAAUCCUCCUUGUUUUUUGCUUGAGGAAGGUCAGCGCU
rnacentral:lncRNA from 1 species